UUGAAAUGUAUGUUCUCCUUCACUGGCACAAAAUGUAGUAUUAUACAACAGUUGCUAACAAAAGUUUUCAGAUGUAUUCAGUCAUGGGUAACAAAUAGCUUAAAGCCCGUUAAAAAUUAACAUUAGUUUUGUUGUAGUUUGGUGUCUAGCAACCCUCGGAUAUAUUCAGAUAAGCGUCUUGACAUAAAUCAGUUUUCUCUAGUUGCUAGUCAAAGCUGACUUUUGCACAGGGACCUAAGAAAUACUUGACAUUGAAGAAGAAGAAAAGCAACUAUUGAAUUAAAACCAACAGCUUUCCUCUUGAAUCAAAGCACCUGGUGGUUCCUGAACCAGAAUGCCAAACAAAGCCCAAGAGUGCCUGACCGUGUUCUACGGAUGUCAUAUCAAUUACUAGGAUGCCGUCAUCAAUCUCCAGUCCCUCCGAGAUCUUGGCAAGCAACUGAGCUUCGAGUGGCCCAUGGUAGCGUAUGAACUGGGAUUCACUCGGGCUGAAAUUAGCCAGAUCCAUGCCCUCACCCCAGAGAAGAAAAGUCAGGCUCAGAAGAUGCUGGAACACUGGUACGAACGAUCGUGGGAGAAACCGAACAAGACCAAACUGCUUCAAGAGGCUUUGGAAAAAUCCGGAAGGCAGGAUCUGGCCGAGAAGCUUCGUUGCCUUCACUGGGGCCAUCAGAAGUUGAGCAAUAAGGUGGAGCUGCCCUCGGCAUUCCCCUUCCUCAUCACCGUGUAUAAGACGACGAACAACAAGGAGCGUCUCAAGAAAAUCAACCAGCUUACUCAUAAGUAAAUCCGGAGAUUCCCAAUCCUCACAUCAAGAGCCGAGCCGAGCUCAGCAGGAUUCUUUAAAAUUUAAGAAUAGGAAAUGUCUAUGGAGAUCCUCAGUCAUCCAGGUCAUGGUUGUCCCAGGCCAUGGUUUGGCACAACCAUGGCCUGGAUGAGCUGAAGAAGCUUCUUGGAUGAGAAGCGAAACGUCUUCAGAGAAAAAACCAGAAAGUCCAGUUGACUCUUGAAAAAAGCACCUUUGGGACUCCAAGUGACCUCAACAAUUCUUCAGAAAGAGUACUAAUGACCAGAUGACUGCAAGGAGUGUAAACCCUUCCAUUCUCCACCGUUUGUUCAGAACUGAAGAAGCUUCUUGGAUGAGAGGCGAAACGUCUUCAGAGAAAAACCAGAAAGUCCAGUUGCCUCUUGAAAAAAAAAGCACCUUUGGGACAACUGUGACCUGGAUGACUGAGAAUCUCCAUAGACAUUCUUUUGAAAAUGUUUUGCUUCUCAUCCAAGAAGCUUCUUCAAUUUUGAAGAAAAAGAACUGAAGAAGCUUCUUGGAUGAGAAGCGAAACAUCUUCAAAGAAAAACCUGAAAGUCCAGUUGCCUCUUGAAAAAACGCACCUUUGGGUUAAGAAUAGGAAAGAGUAGCCACGAACAAGAUUGUAACAGGAGAAAAAUAGAACGGAAUAGAAUAGAGAAUUCUUUAUUGGCCAAGUGUGAUUGGACACACAAGGAAUUUGUCUUUGGUGCACACGCUCUCAGUGUGCAUAAAAGAAAAAAUACAUUUGUCAAGAAUCAUAAGGUACAACACUUAAUGAUAGUCAUAGGGUACAAAUAAGCAAUCGAAUCAUACUAGGAAACAGUCAAUAUAAAUUGUAAGGAUACCAGCAAAAAGGUUAGUCGUACAGUCAUAAGUGGGAGGAGAUGGGUGAUAGGAACGAUGAGAAGAUUAAUAGUAGUGCAAACUUAGUAAAUAGUUUGACAGUGUUGAGGGAAUUAUUUGUUUAGCAGAGUGAUGGCAUUCGGGGAAAAAAACUGUCCUUGUGCCUAGUUGUUCUGGUGUGCAGUGCACUAUAGCAUCAUUUUGAGGGUAGGAGUUGAAACAGUUUAUCUUUAAAAUCUGUUUAAAAUCUGUUUUCUACACCGUCGUCCAGACUUUUCUCUACGAUCUGCUGUCAUUUGAUUUCUCAGCUUUUAAAAUUUGAAUGCAGGAGGCCCGAAAUGAUUUUGAAAAAACAAAAACCCAGCGAAGUAAUUUAAAAUAAAAUCCUAUUAACUGGAGUUUGGGAGAAGCUGUAAGCUUUCUGAUAGAUUUAACGCCACAGAUUCAAUGCAUUUGUGCUUUGUCGAUUUUAAUAGAAGCACCCUGAAAUGUAAUUUAAAUUUAAAACUUGGGAGUCUCGAGUGUACAAGUCCACUGCUUUUUGCCCUCUGCAUCCUGGAGAUGUUUUUUCAACCUGCAUUUUUAGCAAAAUCUGCCAUGGCAACAACUGAGUUCCGGGUAAAAAAAAGGCUGCACGCUGAAUCCCCACAGGUAGUCCUCGACUUACGACCACAAUUGAGCCCAGAAUUUAGGUUGCUAAGCGAGACACUUGUUAAGUGAGUUUUGCCCCAUUUUACAACUUUCCUCGCUACAUUUGUUAAGUGAAUUUUGCUCCAUUUUGCGACUUUUCUUGGCACAGUUGUUAAGUGAAGACUGCAGCUGUGAAGUUGGUCACACAGUUAAGUGAAUCUCGUUUCCCCGUGGAUUUUGUUGGUCAGAAGGUUGUAAAAGGGGCUUCAAGUGAUCUCAGGGGACACUGCAACCGUCAUAAAUGUGAACCAGUUGUCCAGCAUCCGAAUGUAAAUCCCUGCAACCCUGGCGAUCCUGCAACGGUCAUAAGUGUGAAAAAUGAUUCAUAAGCUGAAUCAUUUCAACUUAUGGUUGAAAUGGUCAUGUCACUUUUUUCAGUGCCAUUGUAACUUUGAAGAGUCACUAAAUGAAUUGUUCUAAGUUGAGGAUUGUCUGUACUCAAAACCAACUAGAACUAUCCAGGUUUUCAGAAUCAAAUCAGUGUUUAUUUUUCUUUCUCUCUGCUCACUCCCAUUUUUAUCCAUCCCUUUCCCUUAUAUUCACAGAAUGAACCUCUGCACUUUUUUGUGUGACUUUUGAUUAACUUAUCACAAUUAUUGGCUCAAUAAAUUGGCUGGAAUUGUU